UGGACACGCCAGUCACGAAUCCAACUCAAUAAAAGCAAAGCACCCGGGGUCUGGGCAUUGACAGGGUUUGCAAGACCACACAGUUGCUUAGGAAACUGAGAUCCUGAUCGCUGCCUAAUUAUCUUCAACAUGAGGAAGGUGCAAGUUCUUCUGAGUCUUCUCGUCAUCAUUCUCCAUCACUAUGCUGACGCAGCCACGUGCGCAUGCGCAACUGAUGCGGUGAGGUGCCGAAGUGCUCCUGGAGUCUGGAACGAACAAGUCCACGUCAUGUACCCUGGGUGGUGCCUUCAGUACCUGGGUGUGACCACUCAUGCUGGAGAUUACUAUUGGAGGAAGAUCCGUCUCAGCGAUGGUGAGAUUGCCUGGGUUCCUUCCAACUGGGUGAUCAUCGAAGCAUGCUGAGGUGGCAGUUAGAGGAACUUCGCCCAUUGACCCUGGACUCCAGGGCCUGUCCACAACAUCUCGACCUUCUGGGCGCCAGUUUCUUUACACGACACUCAGCGACCGACUUUCUACUCAGGUCUCUGCCAAAAGUCACGUGACAUCCACCAUUUUGUUAGCUCGGGUAGAGCCUGUCAGGCCUGAAGUGUUGUGAAAAAUAAAGCUGUUGAGAAAAAAAAAA